CUGCUUUUUUGUGUUAGGUGAUCAGCCAGGCUGCCUUUCCAGGUUGAGGCCUUCCCACUGCACUUCGGGAAAGCUGAGGUCUGCGAUUUCCCCAGUGAUGGGAAACUCGAGCGCGUAAUUUUUGUUAGGGGGGAUCUGCGUCCGCGCGAUCCCCA